GGGAACGCCGCUCCAGCAGAUGUGACAUAGACUGGAAGUGAUGGACCCAGACAACAAUCAGAACCAAAGCACCAGAUGAGCCACCUCAGCCACGUGAGCCAUGCCAGCCACCCUACCUGUGACCCCAUCUGUGGCCCCAGUUAUCAUGGAGUAGAGAAAGAAAGAGCAAGAGCAGGCAGGAGGGCAAGACGACAGCAAGAGAACAAGAAAGAAACCUGAAGAAAAGAAGUUUUAGUGAAGAUGGAAAGGCUUAAAACAUACCAUGGAGAAUGACCUCAGCCUUCUGUGUGGAGGAUUUGCACUUGGAGAUAAGGAAAGAGAGGGACUUCAGAGAGUUAAGCAGUUCAGUUUCCUUUGCAUUUCUUACAUCUGAGCAGGUGACCGGAGUGAACACUCUGGAAGCCACAGUGGAGUCCUCUGCUUGGGGCCUCUUUCUGGAAACCAGAUCAAUUCACUGAAAAACAAUUUGCAAAUGACUAGUUCAUUGAGAAGCAAGUGACCAAAACUCUAAGUCACCGAAUGACCUGCUCAUUGAUUUAUUGAAGAUUUUAUUCCAAGGUCUACUUCCCUCUGCAUUUGUGGCUGCCAUUUCAUAUGUGAAUGGGUGGGCAGUUUGCUGUCAUGCCCUUUUUGUGCAUCUCUAUCCUGACCCUGUAUGUGGUGCUGCCUUUUCCCAGGCCCCCUGCCCCUGCCCUGGCCUCUGUCUGCAAAGCAGUUGCAGCAACCUCCCUCUUGCUGUUGAAGAUACUCAUCUGAUGUCUAUUGUGAAUUGGCUGGAGCCCUUCUACAGGUUUGUUAGCGUCCCUCUGCAUCCAGGCUGAUGGUGCCUGCCAUGCUUCUACAUGCUGUUCUCUGCCACCCACCUGAGCCCAGCUAGAGUCAGUGGGGAAGUGGAGGAGCCACAUCAAAACAGUGUGUCCACCUCAGUCACCCUCCAGUGUGCAUUGACGACCAGGCAGCCAUUAGACCCAAAUGCAGCCCCACAGCAUAGAGGCAAAUGGAAAGGCCACAUAUCCUCUUUUCAUUCUCCUUCCAUGUGAGGCCCUGCAGAGCCUGGCAUCUGUCUUCAUCAUCGUGGCAUCCUCAGACUCUUUCUUCUUCCUGGAGCGAGCUGUGCUCUCUGAAGCCACUGCCUGUGUGGGAAGUACCCCAGCAUUUCUUCGCUGUUGCCAGGCAUCCCUUCCUGUCCUACCACUUCAAAUGCAUCUUUUCAUGUGUCCUUCCUGAGCACCUCUAGCAGCUGCAUGUUCCUGUUUCAGCCUCUGCCUUUCCACAGCUCCUCCAAGAUUCCUCUAUUGCAGAGCACAGCACCACCUUGCAGGAAACCUCCCAGAGGACUGUGAGGACCAUGAAGCAAGGGGCUGCAUCUUAUUCUCCUUGGUGUCUGGCCCAGCAGUGGGCCCAGGCCAGAUGCCAUUAAGAACAUUCAUGAUUCAUGAGAGGAGAUCAAAAUAUCAACAUAAACAGGAGUUUGAAAGAAGUUGAUUUCAACCCUUGUGGAUGACUAUGAGAGAUUCAAGGCUUCAGUGGAGAAUGCACCUACAGAUAUGGUGGAAACAGCAAAAGAAAUAGAAUCAGAAGUGGAGCCUGAAGAUUAAACUGAAUUGCUGCAAUCUCAUGAUAAAACUUGAACAGAUGAGGAGUUGCUUCUUACAGAGGGUUAGGAACUGUCAGAGUGUGGCUCAACUGAGAAACAACUUUCUGAGUAGAGGUGGGGAAAGAUGGGCUAAGAGGCUUCUGAGGUCAUGUGUUCACCAUCACUGAGGCACUGUGAUGUGUUAGGUGGGUCUGAACCCUCUGGCUUCAGAGAGAGUGCCUGUGGGGCACCAGGUAAUCCGAGACUGCAGCUCAGAGAUUACUCCAGCAAAGGGUCAGGUAUCCACACUGCCUCUGCUACCUGCCCGUUGGUCACUCACUCAUUGUUCUGAUGAUAAGAUCGACAGAUCACAAGAAGGGACAAGGCUCAUCCCAGGAGGAUCCAUGAUGCUUUAUGAAGACAGUCCCAACAGCCCAUCUCUGUCAUCCUCCAGACGUGCCAAGGCUGAAUCAUGGAGCAAACACAGCACAGGCUCAAGCUGAGACCCUGCCAUGUGACCUCCUAGUUCUAUGAAAUACCCUUCAACAAUGCAGAAUUGACAAACCCUCCCAGAACCUGAUAUAGAUACACAUAUUUAUUAUAUAAGUGUCUCAGUAAAGAAACAAUUUUCUGUAGUGCUUAGUAGCAGACUUCUGACUCCAUAAGAUGUUUCUAAGUAAAGGUUUCUUGGUCAAGGAAUUUGGAAAAUGCUCAUAGUGUAUAUGAUUCUAGGAGACUUUGGAAACACAUUAGUGCAUUCGGAAGCCCUGCAGUAGUCUGCCGCAUGACUUAUUCCAGCUUAUCCCUACAUUAUGGAAUGCUUUUGUCACUGAAUACCUUCAGAACGCAUUUUGGGAAAACUUUUAUAUAUUCGUGGCAACCCUGGAGAAAAAACUUAGAGGUAAAGUUCCCUCUCCGAGAGGCCAUAAUAAAUGUGAAAGUGUGGAAAAGAGCCCUCAUCCUCCACCUCCAAGGCUGGUGUUCUUGCCAGGAUACCAUCCUAUCAGUUCUUUCUAAAACUCUCCUGUCCCCAGUGCAAAUACUCUCAUCAUGACAAUGCCUCACUUCAGCAGGCCUUCUCAUGGAGCUGCAGGAGUUCUUUGCAAAGUCCCCCAGCCCUGGUCUAGGAAUUGGGAGUUGCCUCACAGAUGCUUUAUUGUUAUUACUGGUUACAUGUGUGAUAUGUAGCAUACAUAUCAACUACACCUUUAACCAAUAACUUUUACUUAUUUUUUAUUUGGAGAAUGAUAUAUGCUCAUUAAAGAAAAAUUGGGGAAAAAGUUGGUAAAUAAUGAAGAAGAAAAAUUCACUUCAACCUAGAAAUAGCCCAGUGAACAUGCUGGUGUCAAGGGUGUACAUACACAUAUACAUGUUUGCAUGUUUUGGGAACAAUUUGAAACAAUAUGCAUGUUUGUUACAGUUUUGGAACUGUAACAAAAAUGCACAGUUAUAGUUAUUUAUCAUGACCUUCCUGUUUUUCUUGCCAUGAUAGGUUGUGAAGAUGUUUACAUAUCAUUAAACACUCUUUGGGAUCAUACUUUUUUUUUUUUUUUUUGAGAUGGAGUCUCGCUCUGUCACCCAGGCUGGAGUGCAGUGGCGCGAUCUCAGCUCGCUGCAAACUCCGCCUCCCGGAUUCACGCCAUUCGCCUGCCUCAGCCUCCUGAGUAGCUGGGACUACAGGUGCCCACCACCACGCCCGGCUAAUUUUUUGUAUUUUUAGUAGAGAUGGGGUUUUGCUGUGUUAGCCAGGAUGGUCUUGAUCUCCUGACCUCGUAAUCCUCCCGCCUCGGCCUCCUAAGGUGCUGGGAUUACAGGCGUGAGCCACCGCGCCCAGCCGGGAUCAUACUUUUAAUGGCUGCACAAUGCUGCCUUGUAUGAACGUGUGAUGUUUCACUCAGCCAUUGGUGGUAGAGUCAAUGCCACAGGUUCUCCAUACCAUUUCCUCUCUCUGAGCACUUGGUAAGCCUUCAUUUCCAAAUCUCCCCUGCAGUUUUGAGUUCUGGACAAUGGUUGUGGACAGAAGUUAUGGAUGCCACUUCUGUGCCUGGAGUAUCUGUCCCCUCAUCAGCAACUGUUGGUGACAGAACCACAGAUUGGGAGCAGCCUGGAUCUAAAGAAUCACUGCUUGGGAGAACUCUGCUUAGACAUGUCCAGACUACAUCAGACAUUAAGUGAGAAAUGAACCUUUGUGUGCUGAGUACCGAAAUUUCGACGUUUACUUGUUACUGCUGGAUUGCUUAGCAUACACUAACAUGUCAUCACUCUAGUUACAUCUUUGGGUUUGUUUUCAAUUUAUAUUUUAAAAAUAGAGCUUCAGUACACAUAUUAAAGCAUAAUCUUUGUUUAUAUCUCUGACUACUUUCCUCAAAAACAUCCUGCUUUUGGGAAAAUGUGUACCAAUGCAUGCACCCCCCUCUCUGCCACACACAAAGUACUGUAUGAGAAUAACCAUCAGAUCUU
rnacentral:lncRNA from 1 species